rnacentral:rRNA from 1 species
UACGGGGGGGGCAAGCGGUUGUUCGGAAUUACUGGGCGUAAAGGGCUCGUAGGUGGCCAACUAAGUCAGACGUGAAAUCCCUCGGCUUAACCGGGGAACUGCAUCUGAUACUGGAUGGCUUGAGUUUGGGAGAGGGAUGCGGAAUUCCAGGUGUAGCGGUGAAAUGCGUAGAUAUCUGGAGGAACACCGGUGGCGAAGGCGGCAUCCUGGACCAACACUGACACUGAGGAGCGAAAGCCAGGGAGCAAACGGG